GCGCCCCCCGGUGUCUGGGGCAGCUGCGGAGCGGUCCGGAGCGCAGCCUUCCGGGGCCCUCGGUGCUGCACCCCAAGAGGGACUGGAGACGUCCUGGGAUUGAUUGGACGAUUGGAAAUGUGCCCCGGGCCUCCGACCCAGGCUCUGGACCCGGGGAGCGCUGGUGCUACCCGUGGGGACCCCUGCUGGGGCGUGCACGGAGGUCCCCAGUUGCUAGGAAAGAAGAAAUAAGAGACUAGAUCAUUAACUAAAACUUGUACUUUUUUUUUUUUUCGGAGACGGCCUUGUAAGACAAAGUCUCACUUCCACUCUACGGAGCGUGAACAGCCAAAAAGGCCUCCGCGAUGCUGGGCCCUAAAACCCAGCGAGGCUCCGGGAGCGCGACGGAGAACCGAGAAACCCAGGAAGGAACAUAUCAGGCUAGAUGAUCUCAACUUCCAAAGAACAUAAUGUAGCCUUGCAAAAUAAGACACCCAUCCAACUCCAUGUGCGGCCCGGGCCCUGGGCCCUCAGGCCUGGAAGCAGGAGCCCUGGCUGGGGACCAGAACACUGGCACCAUCUCACAGGGGUCCCUGCUUGUGCCCACCCUGGGGAGGCAGGCCAGAAUCCAGCCCCAGGGGCAGAUACAGACCCCACAUCAUGCUGCCACCAUAAUGUGCUGUCUCGUCAGGAGCCCAAAGCAGUGGGCCACUCCAUCCUGGGCUGGGAUGUGCAAACCUGAGCCAAAAUAAACAUUUUUGCUUAUAAAUGAAAAAAAAUAAGAAGAAGAACAAAGGGAGUUAGGAGUUUUACCCCAGGUAUCCUGAGUGGAUGGC
rnacentral:lncRNA from 1 species